AUGAAAAAACCAUGUCAAGAUAGCCAAGGAGACCGCCUGAAACCUAACCCGCAAGAUUCAACAUGGUUUCAAAUUAUUAUACCUUUUAAAUGCAUAAUAAUUCAAAAUCCAUGAACAUAGAGUUAAAUCUUGGAGGUGAAAAAGAUCAGGCAAGUCAUCCUUGGCUACUAAACAUGACUCUUUUCG
rfam:Capsella rubella cultivar Monte Gargano unplaced genomic scaffold scaffold_5, whole genome shotgun sequence.